GGAAACACAGGUGUCUGGAUCAGGCCACUGUUCCUCAUGCACUCAGGCACGGACGAGAGGAAAGCACACAGCGAGGGAGCUUUGCUUGCUUCCGGCGCUUCCACGGCCAGAGCUUUUCCGCACUGAACUUUAUUGACGUUUCCGAAGAGAAAAUCCACUCACGUUCGUUACAGGAGGGCAAGGACCCCCUGGCCCCGACAUCCUGAUCCAUCCCCGAUCCGGCGUGCGGGACGUGGAAGCAGGUCCAGAGGCAGCCGCUGGCCGGACCCCACUGCGGGAAGCCUUCCUGUUUGCCAACCCUUUGGCGUCCACACAGUCCCGGGCACUGCGUCCUGGUCCCUGUCACCUGGGGCAGGGCCCCCUGCUGGGUCCAGCCAAACCCUGGGCGCAGAGGCACCCACAAGCAGCCCCUGGAACACAAAACAUGCUGGGCCCGGCCCGACUUUUG